UACAGAGGUCUCAAGCGUUGUUCGGAUUCAUUGGGCGUAAAGGGUGCGUAGGUGGCGCCGUAAGUCGGGUGUGAAAAUUUCGGAGCUUAACUCCGAAACUGCAUUCGAUACUGCGGUGCUUGAGGACUGGAGAGGAGACUGGAAUUCCUGGUGUAGCGGUGGAAUGCGCAGAUAUCAGGAGGAAACACCGAUGGCGAAGGCAGGUCACUGGGCCGCAACUGACGCUGAGGAGCGAAAAGCAUGGGGGAGCGAACAGG
rnacentral:rRNA from 1 species